UUUAUAGCCUCAGCGGGGAGCACAUGACAUCGAUGCCAUCACUGAGCUCAAGAUGGUGCCUUGCAAUGGUGAUAUCUCUUUUUCUUGUACUGUACAUGUUGGGUUUGGACAAUGAUGGUUGUAAUCCAUGAUUUAAUUUUCAAAAUAAGAGAAGGAAGCUAUGGGUUUGGAUAAGAUGAUGGUGGCUUAAAUUGUUUGUUGUCUUCGUGGUAUCAUAUACUAAUACGAAGAAUAAUCAUUCCAUGCUUUGAUCUUCAAAAUAAAAUGAGGAACCAAUGGGUUGGACAAUAAUGAUGGGGUUUAUUUUUUUCUUGGUGUAGAUUGCUAAUAUGAACAAUAAUAAUUAGUGUGACCGGUUUACAGUUAUAUAUAUAGCUGAAUAGUUAAUAGUAUUCUCUAUACACUGAAAUUGAGCUCAUAAAAUUUUAUUUAUCAUGUGCUUUUUUUGCUACGGAUCAUUGCAGUUCUCUUCAAUACAUCAAUGUCACUUCCAAAGCGGAGUCCCUCCUAGAGGAUAGUCUCUAUUAUCAUAAGGGCGAGUGUCCAACUUGCUCUACAUAAUACAAUGAUGCCUUUAUUAGUAUCUUGUGCGGGUUAUCAGAGACAAGAACACAAUCUUGGAGUACAUGGACAUCAACGCUGAAGGUGUCGGCAGCAAUGACCUGAGGUCUGCGAUUUGACCAGCGUAGCAUUCUUGU
rnacentral:lncRNA from 1 species